GUAGGAGGCGAGCGUUAUCCGGAUUUACUGGGCGUAAAGCGCGUGCAGGCGGUUUUCUAAGUCGGACGUGAAAGCUCCCGGCUCAACUGGGAGAGGUCGUUCGAAACUAGGAGACUUGAGGAUGGUAGAGGAGAGUGGAAUUCCCGGUGUAGUGGUGAAAUGCGUAGAUAUCGGGAGGAACACCAGUGGCGAAGGCGGCUCUCUGGGCCAUUCCUGACGCUAAGACGCGAAAGCUAGGGGAGAGAACGGGAUUAGAAACCCCGGGUAUUCCUAGCCGUAAACGAUGUCAACUAGGUGUAGGGGGUAUCCCAACCCCCCCUGUGCUGCAGCAAACGCGAUAAGUUGACCGCCUGGGGACUACGGCCGCAAGGCUA
rnacentral:rRNA from 1 species